rnacentral:rRNA from 1 species
GUGUCAGCAGCCGCGGUAAGACAGAGGGUGCAAACGUUGCUCGGAUUUACUGGGCGUAAAGCGCAUGUAGGCGGGCAAAUAAGUCGGGUGUGAAAUCCCUGGGCUCAACCUAGGAACUGCAUCCGAAACUGUUUACCUUGAGUAGUGGAGAGGAAAGCGGAAUUCCGGGUGUAGAGGUGAAAUUCGUAGAUAUCCGGAGGAACACCAGUGGCGAAGGCGGCUUUCUGGACACUAACUGACGCUGAGAUGCGAAAGCGUGGGGAGCAAACAGGAUUAGAAACCCGCGUAGUCC